UACGUAGGGGGCAAGCGUUGUCCGGAUUUAUUGGGCGUAAAGAGCGUGUAGGCGGCCUGGAAGGUCAGCUGUGAAAACUCGAGGCUCAACCUCGAGACGUCGGUUGAAACCACCUGGCUAGAGUCCGGAAGAGGAGAGUGGAAUUCCCGGUGUAGCGGUGAAAUGCGUAGAUAUCGAGAGGAACACCAAUUGCGAAGGCAGCUCGCUGGGACGUAACUGACGCUGAGACGCGAAAGCGUGGGGAGCAAACAGG
rnacentral:rRNA from 1 species